rnacentral:rRNA from 1 species
UACGGGGGGGGCAAGCGUUGUUCGGAAUUACUGGGCGUAAAGAGCUCGUAGGCGGUUUGUCGCGUCGAAUGUGAAAACCCGGGGCUCAACCCCGGGCCUGCAUUCGAUACGGGCAGACUAGAGUUCGGUAGGGGAGUCUGGAAUUCCUGGUGUAGCGGUGAAAUGCGCAGAUAUCAGGAGGAACACCGGUGGCGAAGGCGGGUCUCUGGGCCGAUAUUGACGCUGAGGAGCGAAAGCGUGGGGAGCGAACAGG